rnacentral:rRNA from 1 species
UACGAAGGGGACUAGCGUUGUUCGGAAUCACUGGGCGUAAAGCGCACGUAGGCGGAUGUGUCAGUCAGGGGUGAAAUCCCGGGGCUCAACCUCGGAACUGCCUUUGAUACAGCACGUCUCGAGUCCGGAAGAGGUGGGUGGAAUUCCUAGUGUAGAGGUGAAAUUCGUAGAUAUUAGGAAGAACACCGGUGGCGAAGGCGGCCCACUGGUCCGGUACUGACGCUGAGACGCGAAAGCGUGGGGAGCGAACAGG